UGCCAUAAUGAUGACAUUUUAUUUGCUACUCUUGACAGUGAGGAUGACGAGAAUCCUUACCACCAUUAUUCUAACUGAGGCA
ensembl:snoRNA SNORD24 Small nucleolar RNA SNORD24